UGGCGAUGAUUUUAUAUUAUCCGCGCUUCUGAGUUUCGGCACGGAAGCAUAAUUGGUUAAAAUGGUUGAAUUUCUUGAUAUGAGCCA
rfam:Cajanus cajan Scaffold000409_38, whole genome shotgun sequence.